rnacentral:rRNA from 1 species
CAGUAGCCGCGGGAAUACGGAGGGCGCGAGCGUUACCCGGAUUUACUGGGCGUAAAGGGCGUGUAGGCGGCCUGGGGCGUCCCAUGUGAAAGGCCACGGCUCAACCGUGGAGGAGCGUGGGAUACGCUCAGGCUAGAGGGUGGGAGAGGGUGGUGGAAUUCCCGGAGUAGCGGUGAAAUGCGCAGAUACCGGGAGGAACGCCGAUGGCGAAGGCAGCCACCUGGUCCACUUCUGACGCUGAGGCGCGAAAGCGUGGGGAGCAAACCGGAUUAGAUACCCCCGUAGUCCCUGUCUCUUAUAC